AGAGUUUGAUCAUGGCUCAGGACAAACGCUGGCGGCGUGCCUAAGACAUGCAAGUCGGACGGGGGGCGCAAGCCUCCAGUGGCGGACGGGUGAGGAGCGCGUGGAGAACCUGCCCCGGGAUGGGGGAUACCAGCCAGAAAUGGCUGCUAAUACCGCAUACGAUGGCCGCUCGGUAAGGGCGGUCAGGAAAGCCGCAAGGCGUCCUGGGAGGGGUCCGCGUCGGAUUAGCUAGUUGGUGGGGUAAGGGCCUACCAAGGCGACGAUCCGUAGCUGGUCUGAGAGGACGGCCAGCCACACUGGGACUGAGACACGGCCCAGACUCCUACGGGAGGCAGCAGUUAGGGAAUUUUGACAAUGGGCGCAAGCCUGAUCGAGUGACGCCGCGUGUGGGAUGACGCCUUUCGGGGUGUAAACCACUUUUCUUGGGGACGAGAACGGACGGUACCCGAGGAAGAAGCCUCGGCUAACUACGUGCCAGCAGCCGCGGUAAUACGUAGGAGGCGAGCGUUGUCCGGAAUUACUGGGCGUAAAGCGCGCGUAGGCGGUUCUUUGCGUAGGCGGUGAAAGCCCCCGGCUCACCUGGGGGAGUGCCGCCUAAACGGGGGAACUUUGAGGGCGGUAGGGGCUGGCGGAACGCCCGGAGUAGCGGUGAAAUGCGUUGAGAUCGGGCGAACACCAGUGGCGAAGGCGGCCAGCUGGGCCGACCCUGACGCUGAGGCGCGAAAGCCAGGGGAGCGAACGGAAUUAGAUACCCCAGUAGUCC
rnacentral:rRNA from 1 species